rnacentral:tRNA from 1 species
GCCUUUAUAGCUCAAUGGCAGAGCGACGCUCUCGUAAAGCGGAGACCAUGGUCCGAUUCCGUGUAAAGGCU